rnacentral:rRNA from 1 species
UACGUAGGUGGCAAGCGUUGUCCGGAUUUAUUGGGCGUAAAGGGCGCGCAGGUGGUGUGCUAAGUCUGCCGUGAAAUCUCCCGGCUCAACUGGGAGGCUGCGAUGGAAACUGCCGUGCUUGAGUGUGGGAGAGGUGAGUGGAAUUCCCGGUGUAGCGGUGAAAUGCGUAGAGAUGUGGAGGAACACCAGUGGCGAAGGCGGCUUUUUGGUCUGUAACUGACGCUGAGGCGCGAAAGCGUGGGGAGCAAACAGG